AGUCGAACGGGAAACUUUUCAUUGAAGCUUCGGCAGAUUUGGUCUGUUUCUAGUGGCGGACGGGUGAGUAACGCGUGGGUAACCUGCCUUAUACAGGGGGAUAACAACCAGAAAUGGUUGCUAAUACCGCAUAAGCGCACAGGACCGCAUGGUCCGGUGUGAAAAACUCCGGUGGUAUAAGAUGGACCCGCGUUGGAUUAGCUAGUUGGCAGGGUAACGGCCUACCAAGGCGACGAUCCAUAGCCGGCCUGAGAGGGUGAACGGCCACAUUGGGACUGAGACACGGCCCAGACUCCUACGGGAGGCAGCAGUGGGGAAUAUUGCACAAUGGGGGAAACCCUGAUGCAGCGACGCCGCGUGAAGGAAGAAGUAUCUCGGUAUGUAAACUUCUAUCAGCAGGGAAGAUAGUGACGGUACCUGACUAAGAAGCCCCGGCUAACUACGUGCCAGCAGCCGCGGUAAUACGUAGGGGGCAAGCGUUAUCCGGAUUUACUGGGUGUAAAGGGAGCGUAGACGGACUGGCAAGUCUGAUGUGAAAGGCGGGGGCUCAACCCCUGGACUGCAUUGGAAACUGUUAGUCUU
rnacentral:rRNA from 1 species